ACUCUCUUUUAAAUAUCAUAUUCAGUGCGUUUUUGCAUUUCGUGCGUGUCAGAUCGUUCGUCGUGCACUUCGUUCAACAAAAGCGACUAAAUUAGUGCCAAAUUUUACAACACAUGUCAUUUCAAACAAAAAAAAAAAAAAAAAGUAAUAAUAAAUACUGUGUGUGUAUGUGUGCAUGUGCAUGCAUAUCUGUGUGUGCGUGUGAGGAAGUUACAGUUUAAUGUUGGUUAGUCUCAAUUGUCGACGGCGACGCAUUGCGGCUGAUUGAUGCCAGUUGCUGCUGUUGUUGUUGCCUGCUGCUUUGGACAAACAAAUCAUGCAACAUGAGCCGAGAACUGAACGUGCUUUUAACAUUAAAGGUAAAUGACUUUACUUAACCAUAAAUAACUUGAUUCCACAUUUAAGUGCCCACGGUAAGUGCUGAGAACGCAAAUUGAGUAAAUGUAGGAAGCAAAAAAUAAAAAUAAAAAAAGAAAACUGCAAAGAAAUUUUAUAAGACUGUAAUUAAAUCUUAGACAGCCAAAAAAAAAAAAAAAAAAAAAAACUGUCGAAUAAGUGAAAUAAUGAAUUUAAAGUGGAUUUCCAAGGGCUCGGUAGAAACUGCUUUAAAUGUGCCCAGCUUCUACCGCGAAAUUAUAAACGCAUGAAUAGAAAUUGAAAGUUAUUAUCCCAUUUCAAAAUGUUUUCGAGCCACAAACAACGCUGACUUAAUCACAAUUUUUCCAAGCAGUUCCAUAGAUCUCUUUAUCUAUUUAACUACUACGUGAACUCUGUGUUAAGUGUAGCAUCUCAAGGCGUUUUCCUUUUUCUAAGCGACUCUUUAGCCCAGAUUUUGUCUGGUGCUCUCCAAAUAAAAUGAAAGCAAUUGCAGCAAAACGUUUCAAUUGAGCACUUGAUGGCUUUAAGUAAGUGUAUCGUAUUACUUCGCACGAAGCGUCAACUCAAUUGCAAUAUAAGAAUUAUUCGUGCCCUCCUUAUGGCACCCAGCUGUGCCCCCAACCCCUUGUCUGGUCUGGCCUUUAAUCUACAUAUUGUCUCGCGACUGGCACAGAUGCCUCCUGCUCACUCGCUUGUUCGUUCGUUUAUGCGACGUGCACCAUUGCUGACCCGCCAAUUAACACUGAAACAUUAUCGUCCAUGACCAAAUAUACACACAAACACAAACACAAAUACACAAAAACAUGCGUGUGUGUGUGUGUGUGUGUGUGUGUGUGUGUGUGUGUGUUUGUCUUGGCCAGCCCAAGCACUUUGGCCAAGUGAAACGGCGGCUCAACCAACAACAUCAAUUAACCUCGUCAAGGCAUUUCCACACGACGCUCGCCUUUUUCUUCCUCUACUGUGGAACAAAAACAAAGAAUUUUUUGCAGAAAGUCAAGAGAAGUUAAUGAAAAGCAUUUAAACGAACUUUUUUCGCAAAGCAUACAAUAAUGAUAACAUAUUAGAGAGCUGUUAAGCUAACAGCUGGUAAAAACAGCUGUUGCUUAUGCAAACUCGUGAACUUUUGUUUUGCUGACACAUUUUGCUGCAUGUGGUGGACAUUUAAACGUUUUAUUUGUUAAAAGAUAUUACAUUUCUGGCAUCGUUGGAAAAUUUGCUGUACAGAAAGUUAUAACAUUUUCAGCAUAGUUACAUUUGAUGUACAGCAUAACAUAUGUUUUAUACAUUUCCGUAAAAGUUCUAUUAUCAUAUGAAUUUAGUUGUUUUUUAAAUCCAUCUUUUUAUUGUUAUUUCAUGGGAUAAUAAGCGUGUAUGUGUGUGUUGGUUGAUUAUUAUGUGUACGCAUCGGAAUCGUAAGCAUGUUCUGUUCCUGUUAUUAUUCCUGUUUCUGUCCUUAUUCCUGUCUGUGUCCCCUAUUGCGAACUGGUGUCCGUUCUUCAUCUUGGGCAAAUAAACAAUCAAUGUUCAUUAUUUAUUUACGUCUGUUUACG